GCAGUCGUGGCCGAGUGGUUAAGGCGGUGGACUAGAAAUCCAUUGGGGUCUCCCCGCACACAUUCGAAUCCUGUCGACUGCG
rnacentral:tRNA from 2 species